CGCCGCGCUUCAGCCCCGGGCUCGGCGACGAGGACGAGGAACGGCACCCAGCGCGGCUUCCGACGGCGCCUUCGGCCCUCCGGGGAACAGAACCUGCGUGGUCCGCAGUUCCACCGAGGCGCCAGGCACGAGCCGAAGCCGCCAGCGUAGAAUGCUGUGCGCAGCCUGGUUGAUUCCAACAUGCAUCGCCUUACAACUCACGUUCGGAAUCGGUUCCUGCCAGUACAAUCAUCAACCACCAGAGCAGCUGGAAAACAUAACGGACAUCUUGAAGAGCAUUCUAGAGGGAUAUGACAUUCGGCUUCGCCCAAAUUUUGGAGGAAAACCACUAUUCAUAGGCAUGGACAUAAAUAUUGCCAGCUUUGACAGCAUAUCAGAAGUCAAUAUGGACUACACGAUAACCCUGUACCUGAAUCAGUAUUGGCGUGAUGAGAGGCUUACCUUUAGCAAGGAGAAGUACGAGUUGACGCUGUCCGGUGACUUCGCCGAGAAAAUUUGGGUGCCGGACACCUUCUUCGCCAACGACAAAAAUUCGUUCCUCCACGAUGUCACAGAGAAGAACAAGAUGGUGCGGCUUCAGUCCGACGGACAAAUCACCUAUGGCAUGAGGUUCACUACUACUUUGGCCUGUAUGAUGGACUUGCACUACUAUCCACUGGACUCCCAAAACUGCACAGUUGAAAUUGAGAGCUAUGGAUACACAGUGUCCGACGUUGUAAUGUUCUGGAAAGAUCCAGAGCCCGUCGUCGGGGUUGAGCAGUCUGAACUUCCGCAAUUCUCUAUCAUUAGAUACGAGACGACUGACCGAAAGGAGAAGCUUGCCACCGGAACAUAUCAACGACUAUCGCUCAGUUUUGAGCUCAAGAGGAACAUUGGAUACUUCAUCUUCCAGACAUAUCUUCCAUCGAUUUUGAUCGUGAUGUUGUCGUGGGUGUCCUUUUGGAUCAACCAUGAGGCGACGUCCGCCAGGGUCGCUCUUGGCAUCACGACGGUGCUGACGAUGACCACCAUCAGCACUGGAGUUCGGUCCUCCCUUCCGAGGAUCUCGUACGUCAAGGCCAUUGACAUCUACCUGGUCAUGUGCUUCGUGUUUGUGUUCGCCGCGCUCCUCGAGUAUGCGGCCGUCAACUACACCUACUGGGGCGCGCGAGCCAAAAAGAAGACGAAGAAGAGCAAGGAGACCAAGAUUCCUCCACCACCUCCACCGACCACGGAUCCACCUUAUCCGAACAACGAGGAGAUCAUCGAGUUGCACGACGUGAGGCUGUCGCCGAUCCCUUGCCUGCGCAACCGGCAUCGGCCGCUGUCGGCGCCUGGCAGCGACAGCGAGCUCAAGUUCCCGCCGUCGUUCCGCAUGACGGGCCGCUUCCCGUACAACUCGCGCACUCUUCCGGCGGGCGCCUGCUACCGGGGCGCCGGACUGCGAGCCGCCGCGGACUACGGCGGUGGCGGCGGCUUCGCGCGAAGGCCGCGCGUGUUCCAGACGCUGCGACGAGGCGCGAGCGCCAUCAGAGCCUCCAUGCCUCGCAUCAAGGACGUCAACAAGAUCGACAAGUACUCGAGGGUCAUCUUUCCCAUCUCCUACCUCGUGUUCAACGCCAUCUACUGGUGUUUCUACCUCAUGUGAUUUGCAGCCCGCUGUCUCCUGCGAAGCCUGGGCCCCACCAUGUACUGUGUGAAAAACGAGGAAAACAAACACCAGCCUGACAUUCGAGGACCUCUCGCCGCUCGGGCAUCGAUGAACCGGUGCAUAGAUAACAUUAUACCGUGGAGUUUCAAGUGCGGAACCCCUUGGACGUAAGAGAACGAAUCUCGCGGCACUUUGAACACGGCUCGCACUAACACCAAUAACAACAUUAGGGGCAGCUGGGCGAGUUGGUGCAAUAUAUUUAUUGAUCACUGGCUGCAAGUAUGCAGACACAGAAGGAAACAAAGAGGAAUGGAGAAACAACAGGACGGUUUUCCUUCUGUCGGCCACCAUCGCCGAUAAGCCGGAGUAGUGGGGCCCAAGUCGUGGAGACUAGCCUACCUUAGGACGCAUUCCUAAAUGCAAUGCACUGUCCUGUUGAUUUCCUUUUUUUGUAUGUGUGUUUGGAUUCUUAUUGCCAUUGAUUAAUAAUCAAGAACAAACACAUUCAUAGCAGUGGUCCAAGUUGAGUCGAUAAGUUACCCCCUAUCCUUUUUUUUUCUCCAUUGUACUAUAUCUGAGGAUUAGAAGUCGCUUCGGUAUGGAGAAUGCCAAAUUUAUCGUGGUUAGUUAGACGUCCUAGCCCGCUGCCAUCAUGAUGACGAGCUUUCAAGUAUACUCGUCGCAGUCACGACCAUUCGUGAACCGUUUUUGACGCAGGACUGUGUAAAAUGGCUUGCCUCGCGCGCUUGAAUUUUUUUCUGCAGGUUCUCGGGGAGAGAGCAAGGACCGAUAUUUAGACCAAAGCUAAGCCACACGCCUGACGAAUGAAUGUUCGUAACGCCCGUUUUUUAAAUACUACGCGUGGUGUACACUUACUAUAGACGAUGAUUUCAUCGCUUAGCUUCUGCAAAAGUUAAGCGAUGGAUACAACUUUAGUGUUUGGAAUCGAGUGUACGAAGUAAAAAUCUAGUCAUUGUUUGAAACAGACGACCUUUAGUUAGACCCGCGCGUUACAGACAGUCGGGCGACUGUAAAACAAAGGGCGGGAGUACGCAAAGCUUCGUUCUGAGUGAAAUACUUGCGCGUACCAUAAAAUGCAGAAAGCUUGGUGCACACGCAGGUGUUAUUUUUUUUUCAGUCCCAACAGAGCACCUAAUGUGAGCAAUAACUUUCUAAGUUUUUAAUUAAGGAAUGAAUUCUCACUUGCGCUGUGUUACGUGUCGGAACUUGACACUGCUGGUGCAAAAUAGUAAUAAUAUCUGGGCCUUCUUCACUAUGGUGCAACUACAUCGUGAGCACACAAGCAUACAGAUACUAACGAAAUAGAAUAUAUACCUGUUGAAAAUUGUUAGUUUGCAUGUCGCUUCACCAAGGAAAAGUUUGUUUACGAGUGAGCUUAGAAGUGAGAUCUGAAAUACAAUCUGAUGAAGAAAGUAAGAGAAGGAACCAUAGGAUCAAAUAUGAUUAAGUAAAUAAUUAUACGAUUUACGCAGGCAUAAUGAAAUCAUGUUGCCGUUUGUUCAGGAUUUACGGAUUUACGUCGCCGUCGCAAAUAUUGCAGAAACUUUAGUGGAUAGAGUUGUUGUUGGUAUGAACAUCAAAUUUAUUGCUCGCGAUAGAGACAUCUUAUGGGUGAAUUUUCCGAACUCUACAUAGACUGCCUUAGCACGAAAUGCCGGUAAAUACGGCCCGUGCUUCACUUUUCGAGAACAUCGCUAAUGCGCUGUUUCGCAAUAUUGACCCGGUUUAUAGCCUAAACCAAUGUACAUAUGCGAACAAACUAUGUAGUUAUUCUCGCCAACAUUGUGCUGGUCAACGAGACAUACUGGUUGCAAAAGGCAACCAGUGCAGAGUACUCAAACAAGCUUUUUUUUUUCGUAGUCCGCUUUUAAUAUAAUAUAAUUGUUGGGAUUUAACGUCCCAAAAGUUGUCCACUUCUGAUCACCCUCUUAAAACUGAAUGAUGCUUCACAGAACUUUCAGUAGCGCGAAAUGAGUGAGCCAUCGUCCGUUCUCUGCAACACAAAGCCCGAUUUCUUUGAUGAUUGGCCUUUACUGCACUAUAAAGCGCUGGUAAGACCAAGUAUUUCUUCCAUUGUGUUACUAUUUCGGUUGAGAAGUACGCCAUCUAUUAUAGCAUACUGCUACACGUGUAGUGUAUUGAAGAGAACCGUAACAUUCACUGUUGUAAUGAAAACUGGCUGACGUUUUCUACGCUACGUCACACAGCCAGAUGAACAAGGUCGAUUUCAAAGAUAGCAAGAGUAGGCACCGGAAUGUACCCUACGUGAUCACUGUGGUAACGAGGCAAAUCCACAUAGUACCGAGCACUUCUUGCAUAGGAUAACAAAAGGGCAUUGUGAAAUGUUGACGCCAGCUUUAGGUCUUCCAUUUACUACUCAUAUAAGCGAAGUGAAGUGUCCCCUAAUGCUUAGUAGCCAAAACUUCCACGGAAGAUGAAGGAAUCCAAAGUAAUUGCACAACGGUGGUGAGGCUGAGAAGCCGUGUUUAUGGGACCGGAGUAGUAAAAAUGGUUAUCCGGUAAGCAAGCGCACAAGACAAGAAAAAAAAAAAAAAGGAAGGAAGGAAAAGCGGACGACGCUAUCUUUUAAAAGCGUUACACUCUCUCCUACCCCUUCUCAUUUCUACAGCCAUAUUCACUUAGUAAACUUUCAAAGCGGCGGUAUGUACCAGCGCCAACACCCUAUAAAGAACAAGGAAAGGAAACAAGCUAACAGAUAGAGAAGUGGAACGCUGAUAAUAGUACCACGCUGAAUGUAGAACAAACUGGCCGAACUAGAUUAAACGAUCAGAAGCUGUUCGGUGACAUCUUUUUGACGGUGCUACGAUUGCCAGUCACACUUUCCACUUACGGGGAAAUCCAGCACUGUCGUUACCAAAGAAAUGACAAAUUACCAGCUUUGCCUAUCCCGUGCGUACCUGCAACAUAUUUCAGCAGGAAGAACUUCAGUGACGUCAUUGUGAGUCAUCACGCCAUUGUCAUAGAUGCCACUAUAUACGUCUUUUUUGCACCUUGCCUUCUAAGAUAGAUAGCCGCCGAAAGGUUUUGGAAAGAGUGCUUAAGUGUGCCCAGACAGAGAAUCAGAGGUGAUACAUCGUUAAGACCAAACCUUCUGGCUAUCCUUUGGUCUAUACAGCUUUGUUUCCAACUGCUGCUUGUAUAUGUCUUCAGAUUAUAGCUUCCACAAACAACACUGUUCAUAUUUAUCAAGACCGACAUAAAGAAAUGCUGAAGUGACGUUAAUGCUUGAGGGUGGACAAAACAAGGUGUUUCCCACGAAUCAUUGUUAAGUGAUUUUUUCCCCCUUGUCAUUGACUUAGUGUGAGAACGCAGUAUGAACAAGUUCACAAACGCGAUGGGUUUCUUCACAGAAGUGUCGUGAACUAAUAAAGAACGUUUAUAUUUCGUCA
rnacentral:misc_RNA from 1 species